UAUUAUGUCGAAACAUUGAAUCACCAUUUAGUUGUAGCUAGCUAUCUUCGAAUUAAUUGAAACCAAGACUACGUCAAAAAAUGGUUUCUUCAAAGUCAACCAUCCUUUUGAUUGUAGUUACCUUAAGCUACCAAUUAGCUUAUGAAGGUUUCAUUAUUUCGGGUCAAAUGGUACUUUACCAUUUCCUUGAGUAUAUAUCAUAUAUACACUUAAUGUAGUCAUAAGGAUUUUCAUUCUUAUUUCUUUCGAAUUAAGAGGUGAACUCUAUGACAUAGUCAUAAAGUUCAAACCAUUCAACCUUAGACGGUUUUUAAAUCCUCUCGACUACCUUGGAGCUUUUGGUAUAGGAACUAGGUUGUUAUAUUUAUUGAUUACUUUCUUGUCUCUCAAAGAACCCCAUUCUUUGAGUUCUAUCUCUCUUCAUUUGCUCUUAGGCAAAAAAUCACAUUGUAAGAUUACAAUGAACUAUCCCAACAAAACAACAUUUGUUAGUUGGUUUAUAGAAGCGAUAUCCAAAAGUUAAUUUAAGGAUAUCCCACAAGAUUGUUUAUCAAACAAAUAUUGCUUAUUAGCACACAACCCCAAAUCUUAACAUGCUUGAGACUUGUCUUUCUUUCCAACUACAUCUUAUGGAGUCAUGAAAAUAUUGGAAGAUCUCUAAUUUACAAUCAUAUUGUUUUAGAAGUAUAUAUCCUAUAUAUGGGUAAUAGAUAACAUCUAACGACUAAAUCUUAUUCGAGUUCGUUCUUCUCCUCAAGGAGAAAUUUCUUAUUUUGAUGCUAUUUUCCUUGAUAUCUUUCAAGAAAACUAUUCUAAAGUGUUACCUUCCUUGAUCAAAUCUAAGGAUGUAAAUACUUUAGACGUCUUACUCAUCAACUUACAUUUCUUGAAUUCUUUGAAACCUUUUGCAAAGUAUUCGGACUUGUGUUUAUUCAAAAUAAACUAUAGUCCAACCGAGAGUGAUCUUCGUGAACGUCAUCAACAUGAGUAGUAUUAUUUGUGGACAAGUGCACUAACAUCUAGUGAAUUAAACUCAACAACCUUGUGAUUCUUUCUUCUUUCCAAAGAAUAAAGAUUCGAACAUUUCGCCUCUUUACAAUUUUUAACAAGAAGGCAUUGGAUCCGGANUGUGCAAGGGCGCUCGUCAACUCUAUGACUUGUCGAGACAAAUGUUGUUCGCCAUUUGGAUUGGAAGAGCUUGGAAGGAAUGCGCCUCUUUGGGCAGUGGAAGAUGGUAGACUCCGGGCGCGAGAUUUGAGUUGGGAAAUGUCAAAUCUGCGAAAAAAUGUGGUGAGAAUGCCCCCGGCUCGAUGGUAGGUUCAGAUGGUUGAGAUAGUCUUGGGCCGACUUGGGCUGCUUGGAAAGUCACGGGAGCAGUCUGGGCCUUUAGAGUGGGCUGCUCGUCGGGAGCAGGCUGGGUCACAAGAGCAGGCUGCUUGGCAGGAGCAGGUUGGGCCGUGAGAGUGGGCUGCUCGACGGAAGCAGGCUGGACCACGGGAGUGGCUGCUGUCGGGAGCAAGCUGGGCCACGAGAGCAUGCUGCUUGGCAGGAGCAGGCUGGGCCACGGGAGUGGGCUGCUCGACGGAAGCAGGGCUGGACCACGGGAGUGGGCUACUCGUCGGGAGCAGGCUGGGCCACGAGAGCAGGUUGCUUGGCGGGAGCAGGUUGGGCCGCGAGAGCAAAUUGCUUGGCGGGAGCAGGCUGGGCCACGGGAUUGGGCUUGCCCGACGGAAGCAGGCUGGACCACGAGAGUGGGCUGCUCGUCGGGAGCAGGCUGGACCACGGGAGUGGGCUGCUCAUCUGGAGCAGGCUGGGUCACGAGAAAUAGGCUGGGCCACGGGAGUGGGCUGCUCAACGAAAGCAGGCUGCUCAAUGCGCGGUGCAUGUGAAUGCGAGGCUUGGGCUUGGGUCCACGUAAACUUGGAUGGCACGGCUUGGGUCGUGUCUUGGUACCGUGAGCCUUGGAUGGCACGGCUCGGGCCGUGGAGAAAGCUCCAUGGACCUCGCCACGAAUGGCUACCGAAGUAGCCACCGCGGUGGUUCCCAUGGUGGCCGUGGUGAAGGCACCAUGGACCUCGCCGUGGGUGGCUACCGAGGUAGCCACCGCGGUGGUUCCCAUGGUGGAAACUCGUGGUGGUGAUGCCGCUCCCCUUAUUGUCGCAUUUUGCCUCAUGGAUCUCCGCAAUCCCAUUUCUUGUAUAUUAGAAUUUUCAUUUGUGGAAUUUUCUAAAUUUCUAGCCAUUAAUUUUGCUAUAACGUUUUAUUAAAGAACCUUUGCAAGUAAAAAAUUCUAAAUAAUAAGAACGUAUGAAAAAUAUUCAAAUGGACUAAAAAUAAAGCAAAAACCUUUUUGUGCGAGAGUCUUCUACGAGUAUGGAUUUCAACUCUCAAUGAAAGCACCAAUUUGUGGAUGCAAAUUUCUUCCUCCUCGAUCUUGGACGAUUUUUGCACCUACAAAACAAUUAACACCUUAGUUAAGGCCAAGAGCCUCACGCGCCCACGAUGAAUGGGGGGGGGCUUUGGCCGAAGAACCUCCGAUGCCAAAGUUAGAAUUUAGAGAGAAAGAGUGUUUAGAGAAUUUUGGGAUUUUUUGCCAAAGUGUUGGAAUUAGCUUUUUGGUGAGAAUGGGAGUAUAUUUAUAGGGAUAGGUGGUGGCUACGGUUUUUAGGUUUAAUUUAGGUUUAAUUAGCCAAUUUAUUAUGAUAAAUUUGCUAAUUAAAACAUAAAGGGAAAUAAAUGGAUGGUUAUAGAAUCAAUUAGCUAGCUUAAUUGGGGUAGUAAAGUGGGAAAGAUAGGGAAGGUAGAAAGCUUAAGGGAUGGCCGGCCAUGUGAUGUUUAGGGUUGAAUUGGUUGUAUUUUGUGGUUUUGGAUAUAAUGGAUGGUUUAAUUGAGAAUUAAUGGGUUAAUUAGGCAAUAAACCCAUUAAUUAGCCAAUUAACAUAAUUAAAAGGAAUGUGUUUGGGAAUUACCUUGUAGAAAGGAUUUUGAUGAGAUGGACUUUGAAUUGUUACCUAUUUUGGGCACUUCUGUCUUGGUUGAAAGAGGGUUGCUCGCAGCUUGCGCGUAGGAACCUCGUUGUACUGCAAGGGUAUUUUUUUUCCUUUUUGUCCAAAAAACCCACGUGUCGCCUUGUGAAUAUUUUUGGCUCCACAUUAUCCAUAGAAGCAACCUUGAGAAUAUCGACGUCACCAUUAUACAUGAUUCUUAAUCAUGUGGUUCAGUCUCUCAUUUGAGUUCGGACCUUGAUGAGACCUUGAUUCCCUGGCUUGAGCUAUCGCCCCAUUAGUGUCAAACACUUUCUAGUUGGAACCGAAUAGAGAGUUUAUAAAUGAACUUUCCCAUCCAAACAACAUUGUUGUAAACUUCUAUAUGGCAAUAUAUUUUGCAUUCAUAAUGGAACACACUAAAGUCAUUACUUUAAUGUUUCCAUUCAAAUAUCUCUUUAGUCAUAAUAAAGAGAUAUUUGAUUAUCUCUUCAUUCAUAAUGAAGAAACAUCCAAUGAUGGAUUAGAUUCAUAAUCUAAUACAUUUAAGCUUCCAUUACGUUACUCUAAUUCUUCCUCGAUCUUUGAGGAAUUUAUCCUUUAGUAUUUCUUAAAUACUUAAGGACUUACUUGACAGUUGCCAUGGUUCUGAUCCUAGGCUUGCACUGAUAUCGUCUUGUAACCGUUCUAGGUACAACUCAUAUCAAUGUUUUUCAUACAAUAUGAAAUACAUAAAUCACCUUUAUGCAUAUGCAUAAAGGAUUCUAUUUACGCAUUAUUUCUUUGGAGUCAAAAGGGCACGUUCCCUUUGAGAAGGGCAACUUGCUAGUCACACUAGAGUCAUAUCCUUCUAAUUUAAGUUUAUCAUCAUAUGAGAAACUUCCUAGCAUCUUUUGUCUAUUAUUAGGAAUUGAUAUAAUCCAAUUAUAUCCUAAAAAAUCUAUCAUUAUAGAUUUCUAUCCCAUGUAUAUAGACUAUGUCUCCCAUAUACAUUCUAUCGUUAUAGAAUGUUUAAAGUCAUAACUUUAACGAAGAAGUAUUCUUUUCAUUUCCAAAAUUAAUAUAUCAUAUAUAUAUUCAUAUAUAAUCAAUAUAUAUAUUUAUAUAUAUAUACAAUUUAGGAAUAUGAUUAACUCCCACUAAUCUUUUGUAACCUAGUAAACAAAAGAUUCAUUUACAUCUUUAUGAGAAAUCAACGAUUUGACCUUUCUCUCUAAGAUCGCUUAUAGCUCCCACUAGCUUGCUAAGAUUCAUGAUGGAUGGAUCUCUACAACUUACAUGUCUUGUGAUUCAUAGUUUUUAGACAUAUAUUAUCAAGACUAUCUUAAUAAUGGUUUCGAAAACCCAUAUUAUGUCGAAACAUUGAAUCACCAUUUAGUUGUAGCUAGCUAUCUUCGAAUUAAUGAAACCAAGACUACGUCAAAAAAUGGUUUCUUCAAGUCAACCAUCCUUUUGAUUGUAGUUACCUUAAGCUACCAAUUAGCUUAUGAAGGUUUCAUUAUUUCGGGUCAAAUGGUACUUUACCAUUUCCUUGAGUAUAUAUCAUAUAUACACUUAAUGUAGUCAUAAGGAUUUUCAUUCUUAUUCUUUCGAAUUAAGAGGUGCAACUCUAUGACAUAGUCAUAAAGUUCAAACCAUUCAACUUAGACGGUUUAUAAAUCCUUCUCGACUACCUUGGAGCUUUUGGUAUAGGAACUAGGUUGUUAUAUUUAUUGAUUACUUUCUUGUCUCUCAAAGAACCCAUUCUUUGAGUUCUAUCUCUCGUUCAUUUGCUCUUAGGCAAAUCA
rnacentral:lncRNA from 1 species